UGUAGCAAAUCCUGCCUAGCGGUGUCCCAGUUACCGAGUGCGGUGUUUUACUCGUAGGUACAAAAGGCCGCAAGAAAGACAGCAGCGCGUGGAAGCCUCCCGCCUUCAACACGGAGCUGCCCUCUAACUUGACGGUCCUCGAGGGCGAGACGGCUACCCUUACGUGCGAGGUUACGAGGCUCCGGGGCCGAGCGGUUUCAUGGAUACGGCAAAGAGAUCUCCAUGUAAUUUCCGCCGACAAUCUCAUCUUCACCACUGACAGCAGGUUCCAAGUUGAGGUUGACAACACUACGUCUGCCUGGCGGUUGGUGGUGACGCCUGCGCUGCGUAAUGACUCCGGCGCGUACGAGUGUCAGGUCAACACCAGGCCUAAGCUGUCAUGGACCGUCACUCUCAACG
rnacentral:lncRNA from 1 species